GACGAACGCUGGCGGCGUGGAUUAGGCAUGCAAGUCGAACGAACACUUAGCUUUUUCGAGUGUGAGUGGCGAAAGGGUGAGUAACACGUGGGUUACCUGCCCUAGGGAUCGGGAUAACCUGCCGAAAGGCGGGCUAAUACCGGAUACGUUCCAUCGGAAACGAUGGAGGAAAGAUGGGGAUCCGUAAGGACCUAUCACCCUUGGAU
rnacentral:rRNA from 1 species